UAGACUGAAGUCCGCUGGUUUGGGUUUUUAGUUGUUAACUAAAGGUUUACGGGAUCAAGGCCCGUCGGUCUAG
rnacentral:tRNA from 1 species